AAAUUGAAGAGUUUGAUCAUGGCUCAGAUUGAACGCUGGCGGCAGGCCUAACACAUGCAAGUCGAACGGUAGCACAGAGAGCUUGCUCUCGGGUGACGAGUGGCGGACGGGUGAGUAAUGUCUGGGAAACUGCCUGAUGGAGGGGGAUAACUACUGGAAACGGUGGCUAAUACCGCAUAACGUCGCAAGACCAAAGAGGGGGACCUUCGGGCCUCUUGCCAUCAGAUGUGCCCAGAUGGGAUUAGCUUGUUGGUGAGGUAACGGCUCACCAAGGCGACGAUCCCUAGCUGGUCUGAGAGGAUGACCAGCCACACUGGAACUGAGACACGGUCCAGACUCCUACGGGAGGCAGCAGUGGGGAAUAUUGCACAAUGGGCGCAAGCCUGAUGCAGCCAUGCCGCGUGUAUGAAGAAGGCCUUCGGGUUGUAAAGUACUUUCAGCGGGGAGGAAGGUGUUGUGGUUAAUAACCGCAGCAAUUGACGUUACCCGCAGAAGAAGCACCGGCUAACUCCGUG
rnacentral:rRNA from 1 species